AUCCCCCUAUAAAAACCCUACUUUUCAUAUUUAUCACCAUUCAUUCCAAUUUUCACUCACUAUCUUCAUCCCUCACUAUUAUCUAUACAUAACAACAAACAUAGAUCUAAACACACAACAAUAACACCACCACCACACAUUUUUAGGUUUAUGAGAUGUCAUUUUUUUCUCCUGGAGUUCAUGUAUCAGGCUUCAAUCAGUGUGGUCUAGACUACUUUCAUAAAUAGAAACACAAUUUCAAAUAACUCUUUCUUCACAUAAUUUUGAAAAAAAUGGAGAACUUCUACGACCGAGAUGUUCAACAAUUGAUAACUGAUGGAACAGAAACGUCUCAUUGCAGAGAGAUAGCCUUUGGUUGUCACUGUCGUGAAUGAAAAUGCGCGUGAAAUUUAUAUCCGAUGAGUUGAUUGAAUAAAUCUGGGUUGAACGUUACACCAUAUUAAUGACAUCCGCUACAACCCAUGAUAGUGGAUCAUUAAGUUGUUGGAUUUUGAAGACAAAGGUUUUGAAGCUCUUUGAAAAUUGGAGGCUGCUUUUGAACUUGUGAAACAGGUUUGACAUUGGUGAGGAAUGGAAACAGGGUCGGCCCUAAGAUAAGGCGGGAUGGGUGAGAACCCUGAGUAUCAGAUAACUACUUUAGUAUAUGUGGAAAACUUGAAGUAGGGAAUAUGUUUGUCGUUACAAACUUACAAAGAGUUACGAAGAAGAAGAAAGUUCACUUAUUUUAUUUACUCAUAAGUAGGAUUUAAAUUACUUAUUUACCUUUUUACUGUAAAGGAUAUUACUAAGGGUCACAUCUAAGUUAAUUUAAUGCCCUUCAUUGUUGGUACUUGGUACAAA